UACGGAGGGUGCAAGCGUUAUCCGGAUUCACUGGGUUUAAAGGGUGCGUAGGUGGGUCUGUAAGUCAGUGGUGAAAUCUCCGAGCUUAACUUGGAAACUGCCAUUGAUACUAUAGAUCUUGAAUAUUGUGGAGGUCAGCGGAAUAUGUCAUGUAGCGGUGAAAUGCUUAGAUAUGACAUAGAACACCAAUUGCGAAGGCAGCUGGCUACACAUAUAUUGACACUGAGGCACGAAAGCGUGGGGAUCGAAACAGG
rnacentral:rRNA from 1 species